rnacentral:tRNA from 1 species
GCCCUUGUAGCUCAGUGGUAGAGCAUUUUCUUGGUAAGAAAAAGGUUACGAGUUCAAUUCUCGUCAAGGGCUC